AUGGCCACGGCGGCGGCGGCGGCGGACCCGCGGAGCGGCUACUGCGCCGCGACGGGCGCGUUCCGGAGCAAGCGCGCGGAGGUGCCGCUCCCGGCGGGCCGGGACCUGGACGUGGUCACCUUCCUCGCCUCCCGCCGCCACUCGGGCGUCGUCGCGCUCGUCGACGCCUCCACGGGCCGCCGCACCACCUUCGCCGAGCUCUGGCGGGCGGUCGCCGGCGCCGCCACCGCGCUCGCCGCGCCGCCCUUCGGCCUCCGCAAGGGCCACGUCGCGCUCAUCCUCUCCCCCAACUCGGUCCACUUCCCCGUCGCCGCGCUCGCCGCCAUGUCGCUCGGCGCCGUCGUCACCACCGCCAACCCGCUCAACACCGCCGCCGAGGUCGCCAAGCAGGUCGCCGACGCCCGCCCCGUCCUCGCCUUCACCACCCGCGACCUCCUCCCCAAGCUCCCCCGCGCCGCCGACGGCCUCCGCGUCGUGCUCCUCGAGUCCUCCUCCUCUCCCGCUCCCGCCGACCCGCGCAUCGUCGCCACCAUCGACGAGAUCUCCGCCACGGCGCCCGACCCCGCGCGCCGCCGGGACCGCGUCACGCAGGACGACCAGGCCACGCUGCUCUACUCCUCCGGCACCACGGGGCCCAGCAAGGGCGUCGUCGCCACGCACCGGAACCUCAUCUCCAUGGUCCAGAUCGUCAUGAACCGCUUCCGCCUCGAGGACUCGGACACCACCGAGACCUUCCUCUGCACGGUGCCCAUGUUCCACGUCUACGGCCUCGUCGCCUUCGCCACCGGCCUGCUCGGCUGCGGCGCCACCAUCGUCGUGCUCUCCAAGUUCGAGCUCCCCGAGAUGCUGCGCUGCAUCAGCGCCUACGGGGUCACCUACCUGCCGCUCGUGCCGCCCAUCCUCGUCGCCAUGGUCGCGCACCCCAAGCCGCUGCCUCUGGGCAACCUGCGCAAGGUGCUCUCCGGCGGCGCGCCGCUCAGCAAGGAGCUCAUCGAAGGCUUCAGGGAGAAGUACCCGCAGGUGGAGAUCCUGCAGGGGUACGGGCUGACGGAGAGCACGGCCAUCGGCGCGUCCACGGACUCGGCCGAGGAGAGCCGCCGGUACGGGACCGCCGGGCUCCUGUCGCCCAACACCGAGGCCAAGAUCGUCGACCCUGAUACCGGCGAGGCGCUGCCGGUGAACCGCACCGGCGAGCUCUGGAUCAGGGGACCCUACGUCAUGAAAGGAUACUUCAACAACACAGAGGCAACACAGGCGACGGUGACGCCCGAUGGAUGGCUCAAGACCGGAGACCUCUGUUACAUAGACGAGGAUGGCUAUCUCUUCGUGGUGGACCGUCUGAAAGAGUUGAUCAAAUACAAAGGCUAUCAGGUGCCUCCGGCAGAGUUGGAAGCUCUUCUGCUGACACAUCCAGAGGUUUCCGAUGUUGCUGUCAUUCCGUUUCCGGACAGGGAUGUCGGUCAGUUCCCGAUGGCCUAUGUCGUGAGGAAGAAAGGGAGCAACCUGUCAGCCCAGGAGGUGAUGGAGUUUGUGGCGAAACAGGUAGCACCUUACAAGAAGGUCAGGAAGGUGGCAUUCGUGACGGACAUCCCCAAGAAUGCGUCUGGCAAGAUACUGAGGAAGGAUCUUAUCAAGCUCGCGACGUCCAAGCUGUGA
rnacentral:rRNA from 1 species